rnacentral:pre_miRNA from 1 species
UAGAUACUCCCUCCGAUCCAUAUUAAUUGUCUCAAAUUUGCCCAAAUAUGGAUGUAUCUAUGCUUAAAAAGAGUGUAGAUGCAUGUAAUAUUUCGACGAUUAAUAUGGAUCGGAGGGAUUACUAA